AUGUUCGCUUCGGCAGCACAUACACUAAAAUUGGAAUGAUACAGAAAAGAUGAGCAUAGCCCCUGUGCAAGGAUGACAUGCAAAUUCGUAGAAUUCUAAGGCAUUCAU
ensembl:snRNA U6 U6 spliceosomal RNA